rnacentral:lncRNA from 1 species
GGCAUAUGGAGCUUCCCAGGCUAGGAACCUCCACCAGAGCCACAGCAACACCAGAUUCAAGCCGUGUUUGCAACCUAUACCACAGCUAGGAACCUCCACCACAGCUCACGGCAACGCCAGAUCCUUAGCCCACUGAGCAAGGCCAGGGAUCGAACCCGCAACCUCAUGGUUCCUAGUCAGAUUCGUUAACCACUGAGCCACAACGGGAACUCCCCCCAAAAAAAUAAAAGAACAACCCAUGAAAGGUUGUAGUGAGCUCAGGACAGAGCCCUGGAGCACCCUGGACUGAGGCCUUCCACUUAAGAACAAUGGCUGCAGUAGCAUCUAUACUGAACUCAGCGAAGGCCAGGUGAGGGGGCGUGUCCACAGCAGGUGUAAAUGAGUAAUGACUUAUUUCCACUUCAUAGCCUGGAAGGAGGCAAGACAGUGUGUGAAAGACUGACUCCUUGGAGGCUGGUUGUUUCCUCCUUAAGGAAUACUUCUAGGAAAAACAUCGCAACUAAAUCAGCUUACUCCACAUCCCUGGAAAUUAUCCGCUACUUCUCAUGUAAAGUGUUAAAAAAAAAAAAUACCCAAGAAGAAGGCGUAAAUUAAUUAGAAUUGUCUCUGUCAUUCCAUAAAAUGCAUAAUUAAAAAUUAGCACAGCAUGACUCUGCGUGGGGAGUGAGUAGGGUUUAUCAUCCAUAUGUCAAGAAAUAACGACCAGCUGAGAGAGUCAGCGGCACGGCUGCUGCAGGCAGCCAGUUUACAACCUGUCUUAAAGCGGUAAGGUCAUCUGUACAAAGGAUGGUUCCUGUAGAAGAAGCAGAUCACCUCAAAGAUUACAUGCUCCAUGACAGGAAGCUCACCAAACCACAGUGGUUUCCUCUGGGGAGGAGAGGAGGGAGGGAAAGACAGAAAUGCCUUAUUUAUUUCAUGUUUUAAAAUCUGGGAGUUCCUUUUGUGGCGCAACAGGAUCAGUGGCGUCUUGGGAGCACCAGGACCAAGGUUCAAUCCCCAGCUUGGCACGGUGGGUGAAGGAUCCGGCAUUGUGCAGCUGUGGCUUAGGUCGCAACUGUGGCUGGGAUCUGAUCCCUGGCCCAGGAACUCCAUAUGCCAUGGGGCGGCCAAAAAAGAAAAAAUCUGAAGCAACAUGGCCUGACAUUUAUUAUUCUAGAGAGUGGUCCAUGAGUGCUUAUUGUAUUUGCUCUAUACUUUUCUGCAUGAAAAAGAGAGAGGAAGAACAAGUCUGAAGGAUAAAAAAAAAAAAAUUUCUUCAUUUAACACUUCUUGCAUAAUGUGUUAAAUUGGGCUGAAACCCUAUAAUUAUUUCUUAGCAUUACUGUUUGCCAGCUUCUGAGGCAAUGUUCCUGAAUUCAUCAUUAGCAUUUGUGCUCCUGUUAUAUUUAUACAUGAGGGCUGUUAAAUGCUUUGCAGAUUGUCUAUUUCACACUUUUAUUCAGUCAAAUAAAAGAGGGCCUUAAGUGACUCCCUGCCUUCUUCCUAAGAGUACUGCAGACAGAAGGGCUAAUAAGAUGGUCUCUGUGACCUCCCAGGAAACAGCUUCUGUGCCUCACCAGCUCCAGAACCCUGCCACCGACUUAGAGAUUUGGGGCAAUCUUUACAUAUUCCUUUUGUCUUUAAUUUAUGCUUUCAACACAAAACCAUAUUUCAGAGGACAAUACAACUUUAGGUUCUCAUGUGUCUUUAAAGGAUAAUUCAUGGUCCUGGUGCUGAGUCAGGCCCAAUAAAAAGUUAAUCAUCAAAAUGAGAGUUGAGUAGUGCUGCAGGGGAAAAAAUAUAGAAACUGAAAGUUUUAGAACUGAGGGUUUCAUCCUGAAAUGUUUAUCAAUCAAUUUUACAGCAGUAGAAAACAUUUCCCUCCUGCAGGAAGGUGGGGUGGGGAGAAGGCAGAACAAGAGACAAAGAAAGAGAUUCUAACAAGUUCAACAAUAAAUUUUCAAAGGAUUCACUUUGAUGAUAAUAUGGUAGAUCAAACCCUGUGUGUUGAGUGGCAGGAAUUCCUAUAUCCCAACACUGUGGUAUCAAUUUAAAGGGAACUCACAAAUAAAACUUAAGCUUAUAGGGAAGCUUUUACAGUAUAAACUCCUAAAUCUACAUUGUCAUUACAUUUAAAAAUUAACACUUUUCACAAACUUAUGGUUACGUAACAAAGAGGAUAGUGGGGGGCAGGUGGAUACAUUAGGAGUUCAGGAUUAAGAGAUACACACCACUGUGCAUAAAACAGAUAAACAGGAGUUCCUGUUGUGGCUCAGUGGUAAGGAGCCCAACUAGUAUCAAUGAGGACACAAGUUCAAUCCCCGGCCUUGCUCAGUGGGUUAAGGAUCCAGCAUUGCCGUAAGCUGUGGUGUAGGUUGAAGGUGCAGCUCAGAUCUGGCGUUGCUGUGGCUGUGCCAAAGCCCACCAGCUACAGCUCCAAUUUCGACCCCUAGCCUGGGAACUUCCAUAUGCCACAAGUGCGGCCUUAAAAAAAGCACCAACCACUGCACUUUUUAAAACCUUCCCUGUUGGCCAAAAUAAUCCCCCUAAAAUUACAUAGAUGAACAAUUUCUGUUAUGUUUACUAAAGACAGGUGAACUUCUCACUGAGGUGCUUAAAUGCACAGACAGAAACACAGACAGGGGUUCACAAAACUCUACAGAGGGUGGUGCCUGAUGGAAAGCAGCC